rnacentral:rRNA from 1 species
CCUACGGGCGGCAGCAGUGAGGAAUAUUGGUCAAUGGACGGAAGCCUGAACCAGCCAAGUCGCGUGCGGGAUGACGGCCCUAUGGGUCGUAAACUGCUUUUGCACAGGGAUAACACUGUCCACGUGUGGAGGGCUGCAAGUACCGUGCGAAUAAGGGUCGGCUAAUUCCGUGCCAGCAGCCGCGGUAAUACGGAGGGCCCAAGCGUUAUCCGGAUUUAUUGGGGUUAAAGGGAGCGUAGGGGGGCGGUUAAGUCAGAGUGUAAAUGUCCGGGCCUAACCCGGGCACUGCCUUUGAUACUGGACGCCUUGAGUGCACAAGAGGUAGGCGGAAUGUGUGGUGUAGCGGUGAAAUGCAUAGAUAUCACGCGGAACACCGAUUGCGAAGGCAGCCUACCGGUGUGCGACUGACGCUGAGGCUCGAAGGUGUGGGUAUCAAACAGGAUUAGAUACCCUGGUAGUC